UUAUUGAAUUAAACCCUGGUUGGGUUGUUGCUGGCCUCUAGAGGCAUUGUGCACGCCUGCCAUCGUUUUCAACCACCUGUGCACCUUUUG
rnacentral:rRNA from 1 species